GUCAAGUCCACUCAUUUAUGUCAUUUUACUUAUGCGCUCUUUUCUUGAUUAGCUAAAUUGAGGACAAAAACUCCUCGUCUCAUCAACUCUGCUGGCGCUUACUCAACAUAUAUAUAUAUAUAUAUAUUUUACAAAAAAAAAUAUAAAUAUUUUAACAAACGGCUGAAAAUGCUCUAACUUUCUCAAAUCAGUUCUUACCGCUAAAAAAGCUGUGUGAUUCUUGUCUAAUGAAAAAAAAAAAAAAUUAAAAAAAAUACUAAAUUUAUCUUUAAAGACAGGUUUUAACAAAUCAAGAGCACAUAAUUAUUAUGUAUCCAUGUACGUUUUAUAUCCUCUGCGAUUAGGGCUUUUUUCAAUCCAUCUGAGGCAACUGCGAGACUCGAGCAAGCAAAAGAUGGGUCACUCAAAUGUGUGGAACUCGCACCUGCAGUUUCUGGUUCUGGGCUACCGUAUCUCCAUUUGUGGCUUUUGCUUACUUGUGACUUUGCAGAUUUAGGGUUUGAGUUUCAAAUUGAGUUUCUUUCCCUCAUAAGGCUAUUAUAGUGUUAUGUUUGUCAAAUAAGCCGUUAAUGACAUAAAACAUGUAAGAAACAGUUUGAUUGUACUAAAUGGAGGAGUUUUUUUUUUUUUUGUGUGUGUGUGUGUGUGUGUGUGUGUGGAUAUUGAGUGUUUUAGGGUGAAGUAUUUGGUAUGUGUACCCAUAACUAUGAUUUACCAAUCUGUAUAAUUAUCUGUUUGAUGUAUACAACUAUCUAUAUUAUUUGAUUAUAGUUCAACAUGGAUGACAGUCAGUGAGGGAUCCAGAAAUUUGUUUAAACAAUAAUAAGGUAAAAAAAAAAAAAAAAUCAAUUAAAGUAGUAUUUAACUUAAUUAUAGAUUGAUAAUGUUUUAAUAAAACAUUUUAACAAUUGUCUUUAACUAGUUUCAAGUUUUAAAAAUGUUGCAACACCGCUCUCUUCUAUCUCUUGACCAUAAAUUAAUUAGGACUUUUCUUAUUGUUUUAGUAGUUACACUUCUUCCAUGAAGAGAUGGAUUGUCAAUGGAAAGAAUAGGAAUAAAAUUAUUUAAAGAGAGAGCAGUGGACGAUGAAGGGAGGGGUAGUCCAGAUGGAGACUAAAGCUGAUGGAGUUCGUCGCUAGUGUUUAUGUGCAAUAUGGAUGCAAAUGAGAAGAAAGAAAUAAUGGGGCAAAAAAUAUAAGUUACCAGGGCGUUUAUAAAAUUAUCCAAGAUUUUAUAGGUAAAGAUAGAGUUUUCUAAAAAUCCAGUGGGUGCAAGUGCCCCCACUAAGCCACUCUUAGGUCCGUCCCUCAUGUUAGUUAGCAAUUUAACAUACUUUCAAUAGAUUAUGAAUAUAUCCAACUUGUUUAAUUCUCAACAAUUUUUCUUGGAUACAUAUAAAAUAAUCUAGCUAGAAAGUUGAAAAAGGUUUUGUAAAUCGGGUAUUUUAUUUUGUCCAAGAGAGUUGAUCCACAAGUAUUGAAUUAGAAUGUUAAUGUUGUGGUGGGUGAGAUAGUUUUGCUUGCUUCUUAUCUUAAGAAAGGUCACCUGGAAGCAUACUGCAGUAUUUGUUAAGUGUCUUUCAUUUUGAAUUGCCAUAAUCUGCUUUUGAUGUUUAGCAUUUAUUUUGCCUUGUUCUUGUCUUUACACAGUGGUCUCAAGUUUGAAAAAAGGAGGGUUGUAUUAGGUAGUUGACACUAGCGUAAAAUUGUUUAGUUCAUUGUAUAAUUAGGAGGGAAAAGACAGGGUGGGAUACAAUAUGCGAGGCAAGGAGAUAGAUUUUGUGAAAGUGUUGUGGAGCCAUCACAAAGAUGAUGAAGCUUCUUGGGAGAUCUAAUCCAAAAUGAGAGUGAUAUAUCUGCAUUUGUUUGAAUUAGGUACACAAAUAAAUAUGGGGUAUCCCGGGAGUAUCGACAAUGUGGUACCCCGGGUCAAUGGUUAUCAAGGGAGAUAGCGAGUAUUCAUUGGCCAAGGGUACUACAUAGUUGGUACCCCGGGUAUCCAAUAUUUUUCCUAGGUAUGCAAAUUUUGAGGACGGAAUUUAUUUUUUAAAAAAUGUAGGAUGUUAACAACAACAACAACAAUAAUAAUAAUUAGGGUAUAUAUUAAAUAUAAUAAUAUAAAGUGACCGACUCUAUCCAUAUUAGAUAAAGGCAAGAUGAUGAUGAAUAAUAAAGGUAGAUGUUGGGAUAGCCUACUAUUCCGAACAAGAAAUAUAAAAAAAGUUUAAAAAUAAUAUAGCCUUGUAAUUAAAUGAAGGAAAAAACCUUUACUACAUAAGUUGGAGAAAAUAUAAAUAAGGUAUACUCAUAUUCUCUGUAAUUUUGGGGAAAGAAGAAGAUCCAAAGAGGGAGGCUCGUCAAUCUAUCAAUACACCAAAGAAUCAAUUUUUCAAGACCUGCCCCGCAUUGUCCAAAGGGAUGGCAACGGGACGGUUUUGGGCGGGUGUACCCUCCCCCGUCCCCACCCUGUUUAAAGUUUCUGUCCUCGUCCAAAAUCGCCUAAACGGGGUACUCUCCUUCCUCAUCCCCGCCCCGUUUACAUUUUUCACCCCGCGGGCACCGUCCCACCCCAUUUACUCCUAAAAUUUCUCUCUAUUUUUUUUCCUUAAAUACAAUUAUAUAAGUAUUAAAAAAAUUCAUAAAAAGGGUUAUCAAUAGUUUUAUAUAAAAUUCAAAAUUACGAACAUUCCAUAAUGGCAAAAGUGCCAAAUUGAUUGCAUUACUAAAUAAUGAUUGUUGUUAAUUCGUUAGAACACUACUUUCUUGAUUCCCUAGUGUGUUGAUUAAUUUUUAUAGAUUGACGGGCCUACUUGUUUCUUCUUCUUUCUCCAAAAUUGGAGAGUACGAAAAUAACCCUAGAUGUAUUUUCUCCAGUUUAGAUAGUAAAGCUUUUAUUUAUUUGGUUAUAAGAGAUAUAUUAUUUUUAAUUCCUUUUAUUCUUAUUUAGAAUAGUAGGUUAUCUAAUAUCUGCCCUUAUUGUUAUUAUUAUUAUUAUUCACUUAUUAUAUUACUACUUAAAAAAUUCUUCUUUACCUUUUUAGAUUCAGGGUAUCCUAGGUGACAUGAGACAUCACAAGCACUCCCACUUGGGUCCUAGCGUCCUUGUUGGCCUGACCCUCGUUGGCUUGUGAGGGCUCUCCCCGUAUUUCAGUUGGGAUUGGCUUUGAUACCAUACUAAUAUAAAAACUAUUUAAAUUGUGUAUAUGUGUGUGGGGUCCAUAUAUUUAAUAAUAUACAUAUAAUAGCAAGCAAUUAAAAUUAUAUUUGUCACAUGUACAUCUACUAACCCCUUACUCAUAUUUAUACGCAAUUUCAACCAUCAUUUGUUUGACACCUAUACCAUUUUCACUGCCACACGUCAUAUAUAUUUGCAUUCAUAAAUACAACACAUACCUUACUAAGAUGAGAUCAUUAUGCAUUAUAUAUAUGGAGCCCACAUAUAUAUAACAAAAUUUAAGCCAUUCUUAUAUUAGUAUAUCUAUAACAAUAAUAUAUUAGUGGUGGUAGUAUCGUAAAUAUAAGAAAUACUAUGUAUAUAGUUCUUAUUGUAUCCGAGACGGGGCUAAAUAACAUAAAAGGAAAACUAGAGUCGAGUUUUAAAGCUUUGGGUAAAUUGCACUCACACCCCCUGAGGUUUUGGUUAACGCCACUCAGCGGAUGAUCAACGCACUUGUUUACAUUGACACUCCCUGAGGUUUCAAAAGUUUACACACACACCCCCUUUAGACCUCUGACACUCAAGGAAAUGACCAUUUAACACUUUAAAAAGUGUUAAUUACUAAUAUAACCCUAUAAACUAAAUUUUGAAGGACGAAAAUAACCUUCAUUUUUCAUUCUCUCUCUAUCCUCACCAGUCACCACCAACAUGUUACACAAUAUACAUUUAUGGCCGCUCUAUCCUCCCAUUACCCUAUCCGAAGCCUCUAUCCUCCCAUACCCCCUCUGUCACUAUACACCACAUGUAACACCACCCACCAUUGCUGCCCCCUUCAUGAGAAACCCACCAUUACCAUCUCAACAUUCAUAAACAAACACACCGAAUCUUCAAUCAAAAGCGACCACCACCGCUGCCGCCAUCAAUCAGAAGCGACCACCACCACUGCUGUCGAAUAGAAGCGACCCAAAGGCUUAAAGAAGAAGAGAAUCGUGAAUCAGAGGCAAAAGCCCUCUGCGAAAAGCGACGAGACCGUACAAAUUGUGCUCAACGACGGCAUGAUCGGCAAUUGUAGUGGCGAACAAAGUUCUGCUCGGCGAUGGCAACAGUUUCGACAUCGGAAAUCGCAUCGUCGUUCUUCUCUUCGCUGGUGCGGUUAAUCAUCUUCGCCGGUAAUUUCGCCGUGUGUAGGAUUAAGAUCGGGCUCGGUGGUCCAACAACUUGCUCUGGCCAUCAUCAGCGACAUUGUGGUCUUGGGGUUUGAAGCAACUUGGCCAGGGAUGUCGACGGCAAAGGCAGAGGAGGUCACUGGGUUGGAUCUGUUGUGCGGUGUUAUCGUUCGAGAAUGAUUUGAAGUGGUGAAGUUUCCAGUGUUGGUGAUGGCGCUGCUGCUAUAGAGCGAAAAUGGGUGUGUGGGUGUGGCGGUGGUUGUGGUGGUGUGUAUGUGGGUGUGACCCAUUGUCUUCUUUGGAAAGAACUCCUCAGAAUCUAUUGCUGCCAAUGACCUUUGACCCAGAGGCGUGUUUGAUGUUGCGGUGGUUGUGGUGGUGGGGUGUGGGUGUGGCGGUGGUGGUUGAGAAUGGAUUACAAAAUAAUGAUUAGGGUUAUUUUUGUCAAUUAACAGGUUCAGAGGUAAAUAUGACAUUUUGAAACCUCAUGGGGGGUGUCAAUGUAAACAAGUGCGUUGAUCGUAUGCUGAGUAGCGUUGAUCGAAAGCUCAGGGGUUGGGAGUGCAAUUUACCCUAAAGCUUUUUACCAUACCCGUCCCUCUAACACUUGGGGGUAGCAAUUUGCCCCGCCCCCAAUGGGACGAGGAUGGUAUGCUUCUAAACGGCAUAUGGUAUUACAUAUUGGAAACCCGACUUAGGUUCGGAGAUGGGUUUUAUGCUAUCCUCAUCCCGAAUACAAUAGAAAGUUAGAAACUAUAUAUAUAGCAUUUCUUAUAUUAAAAUACUGCCACUAUUAUAUUUAUGUCACAUAUCAAACUGCAGGCCUGCCCCUUGUUUUAGUAGGUGAUUCACUACCGAAGCGAAGAAAAGGUUGGAUCAAGAAAAGGGGGUACUACGAGCCCUCUACCCCACACAUCUAACCAGUUCGUGUGGUUCACCGGGACUUCCUGAAUAGGCCUUAUUUGGUAGGUAACAUCGACGAAAGCUAUGAACUUAGAAAUGGAACCCCUCCCCUCCGCAACACAUAAAAAAAAACAAAAAUCACCGUUCCUCAUUCCUGUGCCCUUUCUUCUCCAAACCUCUUGAAUGAUUCCACCUAUAGUUGUUGAGUCCCAUAAACCUCUCUCUCACAGUCACAUCUCGUUCAUCAACGAUGAAGAAGAAGAAAAAGACGACAAGGAGGCACAUCCACCUUCGGAGGAGUCGAUAGCAUGAUCUAUAUCAUUCAUCUUUUUUAUUUACGAUCUUACUUGAUGUUGUGUUUAGUGGUUUGUUUGGAGUUUGAUGUGAAAAUGGGUUUGACAAGGAGAUGGUGGAAAUUGGGGCGGGGAUGGGAUGGGGUUUUUCUUCACAGGGCAGACAAACCCAUCCCGUCAGUAUCCCUACUAACUUACUAACCCUAUAAAAGUGUGUCCCAUACCCGCUAUAUUAGCCUUAUUAGGGGGUGGGUGAAAUUGCCACUCCUAUUCUCUUUGCUUAGUUCCUUUUUCUUUUUGCUAGUAUGUUUUUUUUUUUUGUUAGUAUGAUAGAUGGGUAUAUGCUGCUUGCUUUUUUAAACAUGUUUGCUCCCCCUCGCUAACCAGUUUUUUAACCUUCUGUAAAAAGAGCGAAAAUACUUGAAAUAAUGUCAAAGAAAUGUUUUUUUCUGGGUACUGAUAUAUGCAGUAAACCUUGCUUAUUGGUAUUGUGGAGAAAUUAAAAAAAAAAAUUGGCAUUUUAUGUAUAAAAUAACAUAUUAUAUUAUUUUUUUAUUGCCAGUGGUCCAUCUCCGUAUCUUCUUUUUUUUCUUUUUCUUUUUUUUUUCUUUUUUUUUUUUUUUUUUUAAGUUUUUGCCAUAUCACCAUAUUGUUAUAUGGCGUACGUGUACUCCUUGUAUGUGCUUCCUUGAUAACCCCCAUAGGAGUAGCAAAAAUUAUUGGCUGUAGGCAUUUUUUAAAAAAUAAUUAAUAUAUCAUUCUAUGUUUUUGGUCUUAUUACUCUGCACUUAAUUGUACUGAGUUGUUUCCUUUUUGGAAUUUUAGAUAUGUUUCAGUGCUGUUUAUCAGUUGUGAAUGUAUGGCAUCUUGGAGAUCUUUGUUGGAAUAUUUUUGCACAGAAGUAGGAGAAACGUGGUCGGGUUAAUCAUAAUGCUAAUUCUCUCCAAUGAUCAUGUGAAUACUUGGUUUUUUACCCUAUGAUUGCUUGCUGGGGAAACGGAGUUUUGUAUAUGCUGACCAAAAAACAUGGUCCAAUCUUAAGUGCAUUAGCAUGUGAAUAAUUUAUCAAUGCACAUGUUGAAUGUUCAAUUGAACAGGGUAUCUAUCUUCGGGUUUGAAGAAUGAGAACUGCGAGAUUCAUAUUCAGUUUCAUGUCCUUUUCCAUAACUUUGGAACCAAACUCAGGAUUUCAGGUUUCUUUGAAAGCCUGAUCAAUAUUUGUGAAUUCAAAUAGGGAAUCUCAAAUUGUAAAGAAUUAUGUCAAGUGUGUGGUUUGAUGAUGAGAUUCUGGGGAAUAAUGAUUCCCUAGGACACCUAACUUCCUAUAUUACACACGAGUUUCUGAUGAAAAUUUUGUAUUAUAAAGGUGUACCUUGAUUAUUUUAAAUUUUUAUAGAGAAAUGACUAAAUUAAAAGUGGCAUUACAUUCCGUUAGUAACAAUCUUGACUUCCAAGGAUCUGCACUAAAAAUUUGUACUUCGUAGAGUCUAGAACUCUCAAGGACUGAAAUUAUUACCAAAAAUAAAACCCUUAAGAGUUUAGUUUUUAUUUUUAUUUUUAUGAUAAGUAAAACGCCCUUAGUAGUUUUUAAAUAUCAAAUGUCAAUUAAAGAGUCCUUAAUGGUGUCAUUUUGAAUUUUUUGGAGGAACAUGAUAGGUUCAUUCCGAAGAUUCUAAGAAAAUUUAAGUGUUCAAGUGGAUGCAGUAGAAUGAUUUCAUUUCAAUAUGAUGCCGAAUGAAAGUACAUUGACUUACUACAUUCUGCAAUUUAUGAUUUUUAUUGCUUUCUUUCUGGAGCUUUGUUCCUCUCUUCCUAAUUUUGGCUGCUCAAGCCUUUUUUCUUGUUCAUUUGAAUUCCUUGAAUCGAAUGAAGUGUUAUAAUUGCAGAUUCCUUCUAGGGAGGUUUAGGAAAAUUUUUGAGAAAAACAUAUUGUGCCUUUUGUUAUUGCUUUGAUAAUUUUUGUCAAAUUUUAAAUUGGUUUCAUGAAAAUAGAUCAACAACUAAUGCUGUUAUUUUGCAAGUCGUGUGUGUGGGAAUCCUCACGGGUUGAUUGUGAAGUAUGGUAUUAUGUGCUGUAGACAGUGCUUCCGCAGCAAUACAAAGGAAAUUGGCUUCAUUAAGUCGUGUGUGUGCGGGAAUCCUCACAGGUUGAUCCGGAAGUAAUGGUAUUAUGUGUUGUAGACAGUGUCACAGUGCUUCCGCAGCAAUACAAAGGAAAUUGGCUUCAUUAAGUAUCACUAAAGGAUUAUGCGGGUUUUCCAAGAAGAGAUUUUGAGGAUUUGAAUUUUGUCAAGUAUAACGCGGGUUUGGUUUGUACCAUUAAAGUGACGUUACGGACUCUUUUGUUAUUUAUCUUUGUACACAACUAAUAUGACUGGAUGACAGAUUCUUGUUCUACUUAGCACUGAACUUGAAUUACAGAUGCCACUGGAAUUUUGUACACAAAUAAUAUGACUGGAUGAAAGAUUCUUGUUGUACUUAGCACUGAACUUGACUUAUAGUUGCCACUGGAAUUUGGUGUCA